GCAUAGUUCGAUUCAUUACAAGGUCUAUAGUGUAUGCCUUGUUUUGUAUUGCUGUUGGGUUCGUUUCAGUUGGUGCAUUACCAGCUCGUGCGGCUGUUGCUCCUGUUGUUAGUGAAGUUACAUUCAAAAAGAAAGAGAGAGAAGUGAAUGAAGAAUCGCAUUCUAAGGGCCAUGAGUAUUCAGAUUACACUAGAAGUUUGUUAGAAGAGGUUUCAUGGUUGUUGAAGUGUAUAGAGGAGACUAGGAGGGGAAACGGGAGUUUGGAGGAAGUGCGAUUGGCGUUAAAGGCAGUAAAAGCAAAGAAAGAAGGAUUACAAGGGCAGAUAAUGGAGGGGCUGUAUUCGGAAGAGGGGGAAUUGAAAAAAGAAAAAUUGAGUUUGGAGAACCGUGCAGAGGAGAUCAUGGAUGAAGCGGUGAAGGUUAGAAGAGAAUACGAGAAUUUGGUGGGAAGUGCUGAGAAAGAGAGGAUGCAGGAGUUGGAGGAGAGAAUGAGAGUGAUAGAGGAGGAUUAUAGUCGGGUGUGGGAUAGAGUUGGGGAGAUUGAGGAUGCAAUUUUGAGGAGGGAGACAAUGGCAAUGAGUCUUGGGAUCAGGGAGCUUUGCUUCAUUGAGAGGGAGUGUGAGGAGUCG
rnacentral:misc_RNA from 1 species